rnacentral:rRNA from 1 species
AUUGAACGCUGGCGGCAGGCCUAACACAUGCAAGUCGAACGGUAACAGGAAGCAGCUUGCUGCUUCGCUGACGAGUGGCGGACGGGUGAGUAAUGUCUGGGAAACUGCCUGAUGGAGGGGGAUAACUACUGGAAACGGUAGCUAAUACCGCAUAACGUCGCAAGACCAAAGAGGGGGACCUUAGGGCCUCUUGCCAUCGGAUGUGCCCAGAUGGGAUUAGCUAGUAGGUGGGGUAACGGCUCACCUAGGCGACGAUCCCUAGCUGGUCUGAGAGGAUGACCAGCCACACUGGAACUGAGACACGGUCCAGACUCCUACGGGAGGCAGCAGUGGGGAAUAUUGCACAAUGGGCGCAAGCCUGAUGCAGCCAUGCCGCGUGUAUGAAGAAGGCCUUCGGGUUGUAAAGUACUUUCAGCGGGGAGGAAGGGAGUAAAGUUAAUACCUUUGCUCAUUGACGUUACCCGCAGAAGGAGCACCGGCUAACUCC